rnacentral:lncRNA from 1 species
AAGGUAAUUAGUUCAUUAAUAUUGAAUAGUAAAUUUAUUUAACAAAAAGGGGGGAGAUGUCACAUGUACGGGACCAUUUGUGUAUUUUUUGGGGGGAAACAUUUGUAAUUCAUAGUAGAAAGUUUCAGUACAUUGAAACAUGAGUUCAGAGAAAAACAAAUUAGAGAACACAGUAGUAACCCUUACCAACACAUAAACUAUACCCAGAAAUUCGCCAAAUCCUAGAAAUUUGUGCCGGUAAGAACAGCUCCGCCACCAAUACCCAUCAAAACCACACCUCUUGCUCUUCAGGAAGAUGUUAGCCACUAGCAAACAGACACGUUGACUAGUGCGUGGUAUCCGCUCCCAACAAAGACGCCAUCCCAGAUCAUCUAACUUGUUUAAACCGUUAAGAUCAGACGAAGAAAACAAACGAAUCAGUUAAGCCUCGAGCGAAUUGAUACACCGGAUCCGAGUGAGCGAGUCCUAGCCAACUCGAGAAAACCUCCAACAUUUAUUUAACCCGAGACAAAACCCCCUGGAAAAACAAGGGAGGCCGACAUGGGGAAGCAGGAGGAGCGAGAGGGAAGGCGAGAAAGCGGAGAACCGGAGAAAGGUUGGUGAGGGAGGAGAGGAAACCGACUGUUCCAAAGUGGCCAGAGGCGACAACCCAGAAGGGAACCGCUCCAAAAAACAACAUCAAGAGAAAGGAGGGAGGAAGGUGAGGGGAGGGGGAGGGGAAGGGGAAGAAGGGAGAAAGUCGGCGACGACAAUAAGGUGAAAAACCAGCCUUCAGGAGAAGAGAACAUAGAAGGGAGAAGCAGGCCGUCCGCCACCCGACGACAAAAAACCUUACCUCGGGAAACCAAAAUGAAAGAGAAAGGUAGAGGUAUUUUUUUAUUCACAAGCCAAGUGUCUUUUAUUUCUUAAAUAUAUAUUUAAUAAAAAUAUAAUAAAAUAUUAAAAAGAUAUCUUAAUAUUUUAAAGUUGUUUGUGGAAUAAAAUAUUAAACAAUAUAAAUGUAUUAAAUAAUCACACAUAAUUAAAUAGAAAUUUUAACCAAUAUAAUUUUGUGUUGGAUUGUAAUGGAGUUUCGUAUCAUUAAGGUUGUCCAAAAUUAGGCCAUAAAAUGGUGGUUUGAGUAUGAUGAAACUUGAUCACAAUUGUUUGAGUAAUAUUAGGGCUUACAACAUCUAAAUUUUGGAGAUUUUAGCAAACAUGGAGAUAUUAACAAAGAAAUUUAUGUGUAACAAUGAAGGGGAUUUGAAAGCAAGAACCAUCCUAAUUAUGUUGCAAAAUUAAAUAAAGCAAUCUAUGGGUUAAAGCAGGUACCGAGACCUUGAUAUGGCAAGAUAUAUAGAAGAAUUUCCCGUAUUCACCGACUAUUUAGUAGCACCAAUACACACAAGCUUGUUAGUAAAAGCACGUGAUGGAAAACUAUUAGUAGUGCUUCAUUACACGAGCCAACCUUACCACACGAUUUCAGACAAACGAGCUUGAAGAAUUGAAUCACUUCUUAAGAUUUAAUAUAGAACGGGCCAAGGAAAGUUUGUUCUUAAGUCAACAAAAGUAUGUUUGAGAUAUAUUGACAAAAUAUGAAUGCUUAAAUGCAAGUAAAUUUCAAAACCAAUGGAAACAAAUACCCAAAUUUAUUCAGUUGAAGAAAAAGACCCAAAUGAUGUCCCACCAUGUGUAGACAAUGGUCGUGAGUCUAAUAUAUCUCACCCUAAUGCAUCCAUAUAUAAUUUAUGCAGUUGGAAGGGUAACUUGCUUUAUGCAGAAGUCAAAUAAACCUCAAUUAGAAGCAAUUUAUUAAAUUUUAAAGUAUGUUAAAGGCACCCUUGACUAUGGUGUAUACUAUGAUAGCAAGACUCGUGUGAAUUGGUAGGACACUAUGAUGCAUAUUAUGCUGGCGAUUGUGAUACACAGCAGUCAACAAUCAGAUAUAUUAGAAGCAAUUUAUCAAAUUUUAAGGUAUGUUAAAGACACCCUUGACUAUAGCGUAUACUAUAACUGCAAGACUCGUGUGAAUUGGUAGGACACUAUGAUGCAUAUUAUGUUGGUGGUUGUGGUACGCGACGGUCAGCAAUCAGAUGUUUUCAAUUUGGGGUCCACUAUCAUCUCUUGUUAUGGCAAGAGACAACCUACUGUGCCACAAUCAAGCACAAAGGCCGAAUACAGGGCAAUAGCAACGGAAGCACGAGAUGUACAUAUGGUUAGUACAACUCUUGAAAUGUCUAAAGCAGCAUGUUACUAUGUAGUUAAGUUGUAUUGCAACAACCAAUUGGUAAUACAACUAGCAAAGAAUCUAGCUUUUGAUGCAUUGAUGCACGAAUGUAGAAUGUAAAGAUGCACUAUCACUAUACUCAUGAGAAAAUACUUAACGAUGAAAUUAAGAUAAAACGC